AUUGAACGCUGGCGGAAUGCUUUACACAUGCAAGUCGAACGGCAGCACGGGGGCAACCCUGGUGGCGAGUGGCGAACGGGUGAGUAAUGUAUCGGAACGUGCCCAGUCGUGGGGGAUAACGUAGUGAAAAUUACGCUAAUACCGCAUACGAUCUACGGAUGAAAGCGGGGGAUCGCAAGACCUCGCGCGAUUGGAGCGGCCGAUAUCAGAUUAGGUAGUUGGUGGGGUAAAGGCUCACCAAGCCGACGAUCUGUAGCUGGUCUGAGAGGACGACCAGCCACACUGGAACUGAGACACGGUCCAGACUCCUACGGGAGGCAGCAGUGGGGAAUUUUGGACAAUGGGCGCAAGCCUGAUCCAGCCAUUCCGCGUGCAGGAUGAAGGCCCUCGGGUUGUAAACUGCUUUUGUACGGGAGCGAAAAAGGCUCUCUCUAAUACAGGGGGCUCAUGACGGUACCGUAAGAAUAAGCACCGGCUAACUACGUGCCAGCAGCCGU
rnacentral:rRNA from 1 species